rnacentral:ncRNA from 1 species
AGCACUUUUUAAAACAGGUGCUGACAGAUGUAAGUCCGACGUGUCCGUUUCGGCGGCACGGCCUCAAAACUAUUACAGGCUUUGGGAUUAC